rnacentral:rRNA from 1 species
AUACGGAGGAUCCAAGCGUUAUCCGGAUUUAUUGGGUUUAAAGGGAGCGUAGGUUGACAUAUAAGUCAGCUGUGAAAGUUUACGGCUCAACCGUGAAAUUGCAGUUGAUACUGUUUUUCUUGAGUGUACAUAAGGUAGGCGGAAUUCGUGGUGUAGCGGUGAAAUGCUUAGAUAUCACGAAGAACUCCAAUUGCGAAGGCAGCUUACCGGGGUACAACUGACGCUGAGGCACGAAAGUGUGGGUAUC